AGUGGCGGACGGGUGAGUAAGACGUAGGUGACCUGCCUUGGUAUGGGGGAUAACCACUGGAAACGGUGGCUAAUACCGCAUACGCUGGUGGAGUGGGAAUCUCUGUCAGGAAAGAUUGAUUGUACCAAGAGGGGCCUACGGCCGAUUAGCUAGUUGGUGAGGUAAAGGCUCACCAAGGCGAUGAUCGGUAGCUGGUCUGAGAGGACGAUCAGCCACACGGGAACUGAGACACGGUCCCGACUCCUACGGGGGGCAGCAGUGAGGAAUAUUCGGCAAUGGAGGCAACUCUGACCGAGCAACGCCGCGUGGAGGAUGACGGUUUUUGGAUUGUAAACUCCUUUUCUCAGGGAAGAGUGAGGACGGUACCUGAGGAAUAAGUCACGGCUAACUACGUGCCAGCAGCCGCGGUAAUACGUAGGUGGCAAGCGUUAUCCGGAAUUACUGGGCGUAAAGCGCACGCAGGUGGUUUUCUAAGAUUGACGUGAAAACUCUUGGCUUAACUGGGAGACGUCGUUGAUGACUGGGAGACUUGAGGCGAGGAGAGGGGUGUAGAAUUCCCGGUGUAGUGGUGGAAUGCGUAGAUAUCGGGGGGAAUACCAGUGGCGAAAGCGGCACCCUGGCCUUGGCCUGACGCUCAGGUGCGAAAGCGUGGGGAGCGAACGGGAUUAGAUACCCCGGUAGUCCACGCCAUAAACGAUGAACACUAGGUGUA
rnacentral:rRNA from 1 species